GACGAACGCUGGCGGCGUGCUUAACACAUGCAAGUCGAACGGAAAGUCCCUGCUUAUGGGGGGUGCUCGAGUGGCGACCUGGUGAGUUACCCGUGAGUAACGUGCACUUGACUUUGGGGUAACUUCAUGACAGUUGGGCUAAUAGCGGCUAGGAGCUCCUGCUGCUUGGUGGGGGUUGGUUAGUUUAGCCGGUUGGUGAUGGAAUCGCGGCUCAUCAGCUUGAUGCUUGGGUAGUGGAUUACCAAGGCCUUGACGGGUAGCCGUCCUGAGAGGGUGACCGGCCACAUUGGGCCUGAACUGAGGCACAGACUCCAACGGGACGCAGCGGUGGGGUGUAGAGCACUAUGGGCUGAAGCCUGACGCAGCAACGCCGCGUGCGGGAAGACAGCCUUCGGGUUGGAAUGCGCUGUCGCCUGUGACGAAGCGUGAAUGACGGUAACGGGUAAAGAAGCUCCGGCUAACUACGUG
rnacentral:rRNA from 1 species